ACUAGCCAUUACAAAAAUAAUUUGCCGUAAUGGAAAGGCAAGGAAAACUUGAUAGAAUGCAUGCAUAUGGUUUGAAGCAGAGGCAGUUGUUCCAUCUUGUUCGAAAAAAGAUGGAUGGUUAUUUUGGUCAACUUGUGUUCAUGCAAUGAAAGCUACCUAUAAUAAUUUUUCAAUCAUUGACUCCUGCAACAAACUUAGACUUAAAAGAGUUAAAGUAACUGGAGGUCAUUAAAUUUUAAAAUAAAGAAGUAUGUGCAGGAUUUAAUUUCACAACUAAAGAGGACUCCGAAAAAGAAUUAAAGUUCUGAUGGAUCAAAGAUCGAGGAAUGAUUUGGUUUUAACUGGUUUGCAUCUUAUGAACGAAGUACAUAAUAUGAUUUAAAUUGAUGAUUUAUAGUUACACCUAUUGAAAUUCUGUAUCUCAAUGAUAUCCUGGCUUAUCGAUCCACACACAUCCACUCACACACAUUAAUCUUAAAAAAGAUGUUUACAUUUUUAUCUAUAAAUUGUAAAUUUUGUUUUAUUUGCAAAUUCAAUAUACAUUAUAACC